rnacentral:rRNA from 1 species
CAGUAGCCACGGGAAUACGUAGGUGGCAAGCGUUGUCCGGAAUUAUUGGGCGUAAAGCGCGCGCAGGUGGUUUAAUGAGCCUGAUGUGAACGCCCACAGCUCAACCGUGGAGGGUCAUUGGAAACUGUUAAACUUGAGUGCAGGAGAGAAAAGUGGAAUUCCUAGUGUAGCGGUGAAAUGCGUAGAGAUUAGGAGGAACACCAGUGGCGAAGGCGGCUUUUUGGCCUGUAACUGAUACUGAGGCGCGAAAGCGUGGGGAGCAAACAGGAUUAGAUACCCGCGUAGUCCCUGUCUCUUAUAC